GUGCUCACUUCAGCAGCAUAUAUACUAAAACUGGAACGGUACAGAGAAGACUAGCAUGGCCCCUACUCAAGGAUGACACGCAAAUUCGCAAAGCAUCCCACGUUUUU
rnacentral:snRNA from 1 species